rnacentral:rRNA from 1 species
AGAGUUUGAUCCUGGCUCAGAAUGAACGUUGGUGGCGUGGAUUAGGCAUGCAAGUCGAGCGAGAAUUCCCCGCAAUACGGGGACAGCGGCGAAAGGGAGAGCAACACGUAGGUACCUACCUUAGGGUCUGGGAUAGCCACGGGAAACCGUGGGUAAUACCAGAUGAUGUCUUCGGACCAAAGGUGUGAUUCCGCCCCUAGAGGGGCCUGCGUCCUAUUAGCUAGUUGGCGAGGUAACGGCUCACCAAGGCAUUGAUGGGUACGGGGUGUGAGAGCAUGCCCCCGCUCACUGGGACUGAGACACUGCCCAGACACCUACGGGUGGCUGCAGUCGAGGAUCUUCGGCAAUGGGCGCAAGCCUGACCGAGCGACGCCGCGUGCGGGAUGAAGGCCUUCGGGUUGUAAACCGCCGUCGGAGGGGAGGAAAUAUCGGUGGGUUCUCCCAUCGGUUUGACCUAGCCUCAGAGGAAGGACGGGCUAAGUUCGUGCCAGCAGCCGCGGUAAGACGGACCGUCCAAACGUUAUUCGGAAUCACUGGGCUUAAAGGGGUGCGUAGGCGGUCCGGGAAGUUGGGUGUGAAAGCCCUCGGCUUAACCGAGGAAUUGCGCCCAAAACUGCCGGGCUCGAGGGAGACAUAGGUGAGCGGAACUUAGGGUGGAGCGGUGAAAUGCGUUGAGAUCCUAAGGAACACCAGUAGCGAAAGCGGCUCACUGGGUCUCUUCUGACGCUGAAGCACGAAAGCUAGGGAGCGAAGAGGAUUAGAUACCCUCGUAGUCCUAGCCGUAAACGAUGAGCACUGAUUUGGAGGG